CUUCCCUGCAGGUGGGAGCACUUCCCAAAGCUCUAGGACUGAGGCACUCAGCUCCUCACAUUUUGAACUCCAAAGAACAGCAAAGAAACCGAGGCUGUGUCUGCCUUGCAAGGUUUUGUGCACCUGCUCUGGAACCAGGAAAUCCCAGGUGAGAGCAGCUGAAGUGAAGGAGCAGCUCUGACUCAUUUGAACUGCUCAGGACAGGGUGGGAGACAGCAUCUUCCCAAGUGGGCUUAUUUACCAGCUCCAUCCCAGGAUUUCUUAAGAAAUAUGAAGAUUUAGCAAGGCCUUGGCAAUGAAAAACAGGAUUGAAGCUCAUC